rnacentral:rRNA from 1 species
AAAGCUACGGCGCUUGAGGAGCGGUCUGCGGCCCAUCAGCUAGUUGGUAGGGUAAAGGCCUACCAAGGCGAAGACGGGUAGGGGGUGUGAGAGCACGGCCCCCCACAAUGGGACUGAGACACGGCCCAUACUCCUACGGGAGGCAGCAGCAGGGAAUAUUGCACAAUGGACGGAAGUCUGAUGCAGCGACGCCGCGUGAGUGAAGAAGGCCUUCGGGUUGUAAAACUCUUUUGAGGGGGAAGAGCGAGGACGGUACCCCUGGAAUAAGCGUCGGCUAACUACGUGCCAGCAGCCGCGGUAAGACGUAGGACGGCGAGCGUUAUCCGGAUUUACUGGGCGUAAAGCGUCUGUAGGCGGAUGUGUAAGUUGGGCGUGAAAGCUCCGGGCUUAACCCGGAGAGGCCGUUCAAUACUGCAUAACUUGAGGGUGUCAGAGGGGAGCGGAAUUCCCGGUGUAGCGGUAAAAUGCGCAGAGAUCGGGAGGAACACCAGUGGCGGAGGCGGUUCCCUGGGGCACACCUGACGCUGAGAGACGAAAGCUAGGGGAGCGAACAGGAUUAGAGACCCUGGUAGUCCUAGCCCUAAA